rnacentral:rRNA from 1 species
AGGAGCUUGCUCCUUUGACGUUAGCGGCGGACGGGUGAGUAACACGUGGAUAACCUACCUAUAAGACUGGGAUAACUUCGGGAAACCGGAGCUAAUACCGGAUAACAUAUUGAACCGCAUGGUUCAAUAGUGAAAGGCGGCUUUGCUGUCACUUAUAGAUGGAUCCGCGCCGUAUUAGCUAGUUGGUAAGGUAACGGCUUACCAAGGCAACGAUACGUAGCCGACCUGAGAGGGUGAUCGGCCACACUGGAACUGAGACACGGUCCAGACUCCUACGGGAGGCAGCAGUAGGGAAUCUUCCGCAAUGGGCGAAAGCCUGACGGAGCAACGCCGCGUGAGUGAUGAAGGUCUUCGGAUCGUAAAACUCUGUUAUCAGGGAAGAACAAAUGUGUAAGUAACUGUGCACAUCUUGACGGUACCUGAUCAGAAAGCCACGGCUAACUACGUGCCAGCAGCCGCGGUAAUACGUAGGUGGCAAGCGUUAUCCGGAAUUAUUGGGCGUAAAGCGCGCGUAGGCGGUUUUUUAAGUCUGAUGUGAAAGCCCACGGCUCAACCGUGGAGGGUCAUUGGAAACUGGAAAACUUGAGUGCAGAAGAGGAAAGUGGAAUUCCAUGUGUAGCGGUGAAAUGCGCAGAGAUAUGGAGGAACACCAGUGGCGAAGGCGACUUUCUGGUCUGUAACUGACGCUGAUGUGCGAAAGCGUGGGGAUCAAACAGGAUUAGAUACCCUG